rnacentral:misc_RNA from 1 species
GAUGAAGAACGCAGCGAAAUGCGAUAAGUAAUGUGAAUUGCAGAAUCCAGUGAAUCAUCGAAUCUUUGAACGCACAUUGCGCCCCCCAGCAUUCUGGCGGGCAUGCCUGUUCGAGCGUCAUUUCAACCCUCGACCUCCCCUUGGGGAGGUCGGCGUUGGGGACCGGCAGCACACCGCCGGCCCUGAAAUGGAGUGGCGGCCCGUCUGCGGCGACCUCUGCGUAGUAAUACAGCUCGCACCGGAACCCCGACGCGGCCACGCCGUAAAACACCCAACUUCUGAACGUUGACCUCGAAUCAGGUAGGACUACCCGCUGAACUUAAGCAUAUCAAUAAGCGGAGGA